rnacentral:rRNA from 1 species
GGACGCAGUAGGAUAGGCGAAGCGUGCUGUUGGAGUGCACGUCCAAGCAGUAAGGCUGAGUGUUAGGCAAAUCCGGCACUCAUAAGGCUGAGCUGUGAUGGGGAGAGGAAAUUGUUUCCUCGAGUCGUUGAUUUCACACUGCCGAGAAAAGCCUCUAGAUAGAUAACAGGUGCCCGUACCGCAAACCGACACAGGUAGUCAAGAUGAGAAUUCUAAGGUGAGCGAGCGAACUCUCGUUAAGGAACUCGGCAAAAUGACCCCGUAACUUCGGGAGAAGGGGUGCUCUUUAGGGUUCACGCCCAGAAGAGCCGCAGUGAAUAGGCCCAAGCGACUGUUUAUCAAAAACACAGGUCUCUGCUAAACCGUAAGGUGAUGUAUAGGGGCUGACGCCUGCCCGGUGCUGGAAGGUUAAGAGGAGUGGUUAGCUUCUGCGAAGCUACGAAUCGAAGCCCCAGUAAACGGCGGCCGUAACUAUAACGGUCCUAAGGUAGCGAAAUUCCUUGUCGGGUAAGUUCCGACCCGCACGAAAGGCGUAACGAUUUGGGCACUGUCUCAACGAGAGACUCGGUGAAAUCAUAGUACCUGUGAAGAUGCAGGUUACCCGCGACAGGACGGAAAGACCCCGUGGAGCUUUACUGUAGCCUGAUAUUGAAAUUCGGCACAGCUUGUACAGGAUAGGUAGGAGCCUUUGAAACGUGAGCGCUAGCUUACGUGGAGGCGUUGGUGGGAUACUACCCUAGCUGUGUUGGCUUUCUAACCCGCACCACUUAUCGUGGUGGGAGACAGUGUCAGGCGGGCAGUUUGACUGGGGCGGUCGCCUCCUAAAAGGUAACGGAGGCGCUCAAAGGUUCCCUCAGAAUGGUUGGAAAUCAUUCAUAGAGUGUAAAGGCAUAAGGGAGCUUGACUGCGAGACCUACAAGUCGAGCAGGGUCGAAAGACGGACUUAGUGAUCCGGUGGUUCCGCAUGGAAGGGCCAUCGCUCAACGGAUAAAAGCUACCCCGGGGAUAACAGGCUUAUCUCCCCCAAGAGUUCACAUCGACGGGGAGGUUUGGCACCUCGAUGUCGGCUCAUCGCAUCCUGGGGCUGUAGUCGGUCCCAAGGGUUGGGCUGUUCGCCCAUUAAAGCGGUACGCGAGCUGGGUUCAGAACGUCGUGAGACAGUUCGGUCCCUAUCCGUCGUGGGCGUAGGAAAUUUGAGAGGAGCUGUCCUUAGUACGAGAGGACCGGGAUGGACAUACCUCUGGUGUACCAGUUGUCGUGCCAACGGCAUAGCUGGGUAGCUAUGUAUGGACGGGAUAAGUGCUGAAAGCAUCUAAGCAUGAAGCCCCCCUCAAGAUGAGAUUUCCCAACUUCGGUUAUAAGAUCCCUCGAAGAUGACGAGGUUAAUAGGUUCGAGGUGGAAGCGUGGUGACACGUGGAGCUGACGAAUACUAAUCGAUCGAAGACUUAAUCAA